ensembl:snRNA U4 U4 spliceosomal RNA
AGCUUUGCACAGUGGCAGUACCAUAGCCAAUAAGGGUUAUCUGAGGUGUAAUUAUUGCAUGAAAAUGUUUCCCAAUACUCCGUCAUGAUGACUUGAAAUAGAGUCAACAUUGGCAAUCUUUGACAGUCUCUACGGAGA